rnacentral:lncRNA from 1 species
UUUUUUUUUUUUUCUUUUUAGGGCUGCACCUGCAGCAUAUGGAAGUUCCCAGGUUAGGGGCUGAAUGGGAGCUGCAGCUGCUAGCCUACGCCGGAGCCACAGCAAUGCCAAACCUGAGCCACAUCUGCCACCUAUGCUGCAGCUGCAACAACGCUGGAUCCUUAACCCACUGAGAGAGGCCAGGGACCAAACCUGCAUCCUCAUGGACACGAUGUUGGGUUCUUAACCACAACAGGAACUCCUAUUUUACUUUUCUACAUGCAAAUCAAUCUUUUUUUUCCUUCAUUAUUUCUGAUUUUGGUGUCAUGCUUUAAACGAACUGCUCCAAUUCCCGUAUGACAUACGCAUUUCCUUUUUUUUUUUUUUUUCUGGACUUCGCUUGUUUUAUUUUUGGGUCAUGCCUGCAGCAUGUGGAGUUCCUGGGCAAGGGGUCAAAUCCGUGGCACAGCAGUGACCUGAGCCACUUGCAGUGACAACACCGGAUCCUUAACCCACUGCACCACAAGGGAAUUCUGGACUUGCCUUGUUUUCACUUUUACAUGUGGGUCUUUAAUUAGUUGGACUUGGGGAGCUAUGAGAUUUGAAGUAGAAACCACAGAUCUCUUUUCUCCUGAUGGUUAAUUAGUUGUUCUAGGCCAUUUAUUGGGUAACUGAUGUUAUCUUCUUUAUCAUACAUUAAAUUAAUUCAGACGUUUGUGUUUCUUGUGCUUUUUCCUCAGCCUCACCAGAGGCAUAUGGGAGUUCCUAGGUCAGGGAUCGAACCUGAGCCACAGCUGCCAUCUGUGCCAUAGCUGCGGCAAUGGCGGAUUCUUAACCCGCUGCCCCACCACGCGACGCCCACUUGGACUUGCUUCUGACAGAUCAAUUUAGCCCUAUCGAUCUCGUCACUGCCUACACCCGUACUACAGUGUUUUUUGUUUUUGUCUUUUUGUCUUUUUCGGGCUGCACCUGCAGCAUAUGGAGCUUCCUAGGCUAGAGGUCGAAUCAGAGCUGUAGCCACUGGCCUACGCCACAGCCAGAGCAGCACCAGAUCUGAUCCGAGUCUGUGACCUACACCACAGCUCACGGCAACACCGGAUCCUGAACCCACUGAGCAAGGCCAGGGAUCGAACCUGAAACCUCAUGGUUCCUAGUUGGAUUCGUUAACCACUGAGCCAUGACAGGAACUCCAGGAGUUCUUAAUAUAGUCUUUUUUUUUUUUUGCUUUUUAGGGCUGCACCCACGGCAUGUGGACGUUCCCAGCUAGGGGUUGAAUCAGAGCUACAGCUGCCGGCCUACACCACAGCCAUAGCAAUGCGGAUCCUUAACCCACUGAGCGAGGUCAGGGGUUGAACCCAUAUCCUCUUGGAUACUAGUUGGAUUUGCUACUGCUGAGCCACAACAGGAACUCCUAGGAGUUCUUCACGUAUUCUAGAUGAAAAUCCCUUCUCAUAUUCAUGGUUUGCAAAAAUUUCUCCCAUUCUACGGGUUGCCUUUUGUUUCUUUUUUUCUGUCUCUUUUUGUCUUUUUAGGGCCGCACCCACGGCAUAUGGAGGUUCCCAGGCUAGGGGUCCAAUCGGAGCUGUAGCCUCCGACCUACACCACAGCCACGCCAGAUCCAAGCGGCAUCUUCAACCUACACCACAGCUCACGGCAACGCCGGAUCUUUAACCCACUGAGGGAGGCCAGGGAUCAAACCCGCCACCUCAUGGUUCCUAGUCGGAUUCCUUGCCACUGCACCACGACGGGAACUCCACUUAUUGUUUCUCGAUGGUGUCCUUGAAGCACAAAAGUUUUCAAUUCUUAUGACGUCCACCUCAUCUGUUUCCCCGCCGCUGCCCCUUUGGUUGUUGGUGCUUCUGAGGUCUUAUCUUAACAACCACUGCACGGGCCAAGGUCAGGAAGAGCUACUCCCAUGUUUCUUCUAAGACUUGUAUAGUUUUAACUCUUACAUUUAGGUCUUCCAUUCCUUUUGUGUUAAUUUUUGUGUGUAGGGUGAAGUAGGGACUCCUUUUCUUUUUCUCCCCCCCCUUUUGUUUUUGGAUCAGGCAUCCAAUUUUCUUAGCAUCAUUUUUGAAAAACAAGUCUCUGCCCCUUUGAACUGUCUUGGCACACCCUCACCAACAAUCAAUUGCAAAUGUCAGAGUUUAUUUCUGGCCUCUCAACCACGCAUCUGUCUGUAGCUUUGUGGUAAGUUUGGAAAUCAGGGCACUUGAGUCCUCCAACUUUGCUCUUCUUUUUCAAGACAGUUUUGGCUACUUCGGGUCUCCUGAUUUUCCUUUUCUUAGGCCUUUUUGUUGUUGGAUGAACGAGCUCUCUUCUCUUUGGUCCCUGCUGUGUAGAGGAAACUACUCGGAGGCACAGAUUUCUUUUUUAGUCCAGCUACUUUGCUGCGCUCUCUCCUAAGGCCUAAAAAUUCCUCUGCCCAUUGGCCAGGGUUUCCCAGGCAGUCAAUCAUAUCUUCAGCUGGUAAUGAUAAGCUUGACGCUUCCGCCCCCAAUUGUGUCUUGAUGGGUUUUCUUCUCGGGGUUUCCCCUUGAAUUUCAGAAUACGGUCGACACUCUGCCGUGUGUGCCACCCUUGGUUUGCUCCUUGUUGUCGUAGGAGGCCUUUGUCAUGAAGGACUAUGUUAUCGGCAUGGUGGCUCUAUUAUGAGCCAUCCCAGGUCAUCAGCAGGCAUCACUUUGUCGGGUGGACUGAGACCAAAACAUUUAUCAUCUCGACAAGGUCUUUCUGUUCUCUGUCACCCAGAGUGUUCACCAGGGCGCAUCCUGUGUCCUGUUCCUACGAUGAACUAUAUUAAUAAACCUUUAACACUGAAGCCCGCCCCUUGUGUAAACUGUGUCUCUGGAGCCAGUGGGAACAAAUGAGCUCCCAUUGACAGGAAUAACUCAGGUCUCACUGGUCCAACCCCCACGGCUAUAACAUGGACCAGAUGUCACACCCUGAAAGGCAGGAGGUCGCAGCUGGUGUGGCCUGCCAGGGGGGGGAACAUACUGUUUCAAAUGCGUUCCCAGCACUUCUGAAAAAAAAAAAAUCAGGCGAUUUCAGAUGAAGAGUUCUGAUUUUUGCUUUCGCUUCACCAGUGAUCCGAUCUGACCACAUCUGUCCUGCGUUGCCACAGGGUCACAGUGGGCUGAAGCUGCCCCUGGGUGGGGGUGCUUUAGAGGGCUCCUCAUCUGCAUCCUCGCCAGGCUACUGUCUCCCUACCACAUUGUUCCCAGGCCUCAGGGUCAAGGGUCAGUUCCCCUUUUUUCUAUCUGUGAGGUUGUUUUCCUCACAGUGGAAGGAGGUGAAAGUGAAACGUCCUGUAAUCAUGCCUCCAGCAAAGGUGGAAAAACAAAAGGGGCCAAGAGGGAAAUGUGUUCUGGGGGAAAUGGGAGCGCACAUGUUUCUCAGUGCAAGUGAAGAGUAUUCCUCCGUGGUUUUUACUGUUGUUUGCUUUUUUUGCUUUUUAGGGCCACAUCCGCAGCAUAUGGAGGUUCCCAGGCUAGGGGUCCAGUCGGAGCCACGGCUGCCGGUCUAUACCACAGCCACAGUGACACAGGAUCCGAGCCACGUCUGCGACCUACACCACAGCUCUUGGCAACCCCGGCUCCUUAACCCACUGAUCAAGGCCAGGGAUCGAACUCGCAACCUCAUGGUUCCUAGUCGGAUUGGUUUCCGCUGCACCACAACAGAACUCCUAUGCCUAUGUGUUUAACCCACAGAGUGGGCCUAUUGAAAGGAUACGUGUGAGAUGCCACCAGCCACGAAACUCAUAGGAAGACCAGAAGACAUGUGCAAGGGAAAGAAAACCUUACUGAAC